GUACGGUGAAACCGCGAAUGGCUCAUUAAAUCAGUCGAGGUUCCUUAGAUGAUCCAUUUCUACUUGGAUAACUGUGGUAAUUCUAGAGCUAAUACAUGCCCAACAGCUCCGACCCCGGGCUUCGCGGUUCGGGGAAAGAGCGCUUUUAUUAGUUCAAAACCAGUCGGGGGUUUCGGCCCUCGUGCUUUGGUGACUCUGGAUAACUUUGAGCCGAUCGCAUGGCCUCGAGCCGGCGACGCAUCUUUCAAAUGUCUGCCCUAUCAAAUGACGACGGUACGUGAUCUGCCUACCGUGUUGACUACGGGUAGCGGGGAAUCAGGGUUCGAUUCCGGA
rnacentral:rRNA from 11 species